AAAGGGAGACCUAAUUCAAGUAAAAGACGAAAAAAAAGUAGUCGCUACCAAGAAUCAAUCCCAAAAGGUCGGAGCGAGGCGAAAUUGGCUUUCAAACUAGGUUCUGGGUUCAAACAAGACCUGAAUCAGGAACAAGGGCUAUUAGCUCAGGUGGUUAGAGCGCACCCCUGAUAAGGGUGAGGUCCCUGGUUCGAGUCCAGGAUGGCCCACCUGCACAGGUGGCAAAAACAAGAGAAGCGAGGAAUCAGCACCUUAUCUUACUUAUAUAGUAAGAGAGAAUGCUGGCUCUGAGUAAAGAGUCCAGAGGAACCUUGAAAACUGCAUAGAGCUAGGUGAAAAAGCCAAAAAAGAAGACCGCAAG
rnacentral:tRNA from 1 species